rnacentral:rRNA from 1 species
CGCGGCUGCUGGCACGAAGUUAGCCGGGGCUUAUUCCUCCGGUACCGUCAUUAUCGUCCCGGAUAAAAGAGCUUUACAACCCUAAGGCCUUCAUCACUCACGCGGCAUGGCUGGAUCAGGCUUGCGCCCAUUGUCCAAUAUUCCCCACUGCUGCCUCCCGUAGGAGUCUGGGCCGUGUCUCAGUCCCAGUGUGGCUGAUCAUCCUCUCAGACCAGCUACUGAUCGUCGCCUUGGUAGGCCGUUACCCCACCAACUAGCUAAUCAGACGCGGGCCGAUCUUCCGGCAGUAAACCUUUCCCCAAAAGGGCGUAUCCGGUAUUAGCCCUAGUUUCCCAGGGUUAUUCCGAACCAGAAGGCACGUUCCCACGCGUUACUCACCCGUCCGCCGCUGACCCCGAAGGGCCCGCUCGACUUGCAUGUGUUAAGCCUGCCGCCAGCGUUCGCUCUGAGCCAGGAUCA